rnacentral:rRNA from 1 species
AAACAUUAUGAGUUUGAUCCUGGCUCAGAAUGAACGCUAGUAGUAUGCUUAACACAUGCAAGUCGAACGGAAACUAUUUUUCGUGGCGUACGGGUGAGUAAAUGCAGAACUUUUCCUUUCAGUUCAGGACAAAUAUUUCUUUCGAGAAAUAAAAAUACUGAAUAUUUCUAAAGGUUCAAUCCGCUGAAAGAUAAAUCUGUUUAAGAUUAGGUUGUUGGUAAUUUAAAAGCUUACCAAGCCAAUGAUCUUUAGUUGGUCUGAGAGGAUGAUCAACCACACUGGAACUGAAACAAGGUCCAGGCUAAUACGUUGGCCAGCAGUGAGGAAUAUUGGAAUCAAUGAACGAAAGUUUGAUCCAGCAAUACUAACUGGGUGAUGACAGCUUAUUUAGGUGUAAGACCCUUUAAUUGAAAAUGAUAAUGACAUUAUUUAAUUGAAUUAGUCCUGGCUAAUACUCGUGCCAGCAGCCGCGGUAAUACGGGAAGGGCAAGCGUUAUUCGGCAUGACUGGGCGUAAAGAGUCCGUAGACGGUAAAACAAGUUUUUUGUUAAAUCUUAAGACCUAAUCUUAACGCAGCAAUUAAUACUGUUUUACUACGAGUUUAAUACAGAAAAGUAGAAUUUUAUACGAUAGAGGUGAAAUUUGUAAAUAUAUAAAGGAAUGCCAAUAGCGAAGGCAACUUUUUAGUAUAAACUGACGUUGAGGGACGAAAGCGUGGGUAGCAAACGGGAUUAGAGACCCCGGUAGUCCACGCCGUAAAUUCUGAGUGCUGUAAUUUAAUUGUAAUAUUUUUAAAAUAUUAUUUAGAUUUUCAAGCUAACGCAAUAAGCACUCCGCCUGAAGAGUACGAUCUCAAGAUUGGAACUCAAAGGAAUUGACGGGGGUUUAACACUAGUGGUGGAGCAUGUGGUUUAAUGCGAUAAUCCGCGCAAAACCUUACCAAUUUUUGACAUAGCUAAAUAAUUAGAGUAUAUCAAUUUUAAUUUAAUUAUUUUUUUACAGGUGUUGCACGACUGUCGUCAGCUCGUGUCGUGAGAUGUUUGGUUAAGUCCUGAAACGGGCGCAACUCUUACUUUUAAAUUUUAACGUAUUAAAUUAAACCUUUAAUUUAAAUGCUUUAAAAGUACGGUCAAUGAUAAGUUGAAGGAAGGUAAGAACGAAGUCAAGUCAAUGUGACCCUAAUGAAUUGGGCUACUUCAUGUGCUACAAUGAAAAUUACAAAAAGUGACAAAAAAGAAAUUUUAAGGUAAUCAACAAAAAUUUUCCCAGUUCGGAUUUUAGACUGCAACUCGUCUAAAUGAAGUUGGAAUCACUAGUAAUCGCAAAUCAGCACGUUGCGGUGAACAUGUAACUUGACCCUGCACAUACCGCCCGUCACUUGCAAAGAAUUAGUUUCGCUUGAAGAUUCUAACAGAAUUCAUUGAGAGAUUAAUAAUUUGGAUGAAGUCGUAACAAGGUAGCUGUACGGGAACGUGCAGCUGGAACA